UACGUAGGGUGCAAGCGUUGUCCGGAAUUAUUGGGCGUAAAGAGCUCGUAGGCGGUUUGUCGCGUCUGCUGUGAAAACUCGGGGCUUAACUCCGGGCCUGCAGUGGGUACGGGCAGACUAGAGUGCGGUAGGGGAGACUGGAAUUCCUGGUGUAGCGGUGAAAUGCGCAGAUAUCGGGAGGAACACCUGUGGCGAAGGCGGCUUUCUGGGCCCUACCUGACUGCUGAGACGCGAAAGCGUGGGGAGCGAACCGG
rnacentral:rRNA from 1 species